CAUUGGAAAACUAAUACUAGCAAAAGCACCGGAAAUAGUUCGAAAAAGAAACGAUGAAGAUGCCGUAAAAACGGAUGUAAUAAUUGAGAAUGAAAGGGGCACACAGGUGAAAAUAAGUCUUUGGGGAGACACGGGAAACCCCAUCCAAAAAAUAAAGGAAGGCGAGAAUGUCGUACUAAUAGUAACUGGACUGACAGUGGAUAAAUUUGCAGAUGACUACUUUUUGAAGAUAUCAAAGUCCACCACAGUAUAUGUGGAUCUUGACAUACCACAAGUUCAAGAAUUUAAGUCAAAAUUUGCAGAUUCCACUAAAGUGAUUAUUGUGGAUAGCAACGAAAAUUCAAUGGGAGGUUGAAUGGAGGAAUCACUUUUCAGAAACAGGGUCACUGUGAUAGAAGGACUUGCAUUGCUGCAAAAUUCAGAUAACGAUGGUACCACAUUCACAUUCAAAGCAACAGUGACCGGUAUUCGAGAAAGAUCGAAAUGCAAUUAUGGCAGGGUACCAAUUAUGCCAUAACCAAUUAUGGCAAUUAUGCAAUUAUGACAUAACCAAUUAUGACAUAACCAAUUAUGCCAUAACCAAUUAUGCAAUUAUGACAGGGUACCAAUUAUGCCAUAACCAAUUAUGGCAUGGUUCUACAUGGCAUGUCCGAAAUGCAACAAAGCACACAUCAUAGUUAAGGGAAUUCCAUGGUGCAACGGCUGCGACAAAAGAGUACGAAAUCCUGUUGCGCGUUAUAAGUUGGAGCUCAAAGUGACAGACAAAACCACAACAGACCAGCUGCCGAACCAUUCCUCGACAAUGUAAGAGUAGCAAAGCUCAUGGAAAUCAGCGCUAUAAAUAUAGAGAAAAUGUACCUGAAAUCUGGGAUGCAAUAGGAUUGUCUUUCAUAUUCGAAGUGCAUCUUAAUGCGAAAUCUUUUGGCUACAAUAGUUUUUCUGUCAGGAAACUGUAUCCAAUCAAUUUUCAGCUGGAAACCAAUUUUGAAUUGCGCAACAUGCAGCAGGUAUCACCAAACAAUGGAAGUGCAGGAGGAGAUGAAGGUGAAAAUAUGGACGAAAUAAUAGCAUUGGCGAACUUAGCAACAUUGCCAGAGGCUGGCCAACAUGGUGAGGAUGAAAACUUGGAAGAUGAGGCAGCAUUGGCAGAAGUAGAAGCUGCAGAGAAAGGAAUACUACAAAGUAAUGAGAAAGAAGGCGAGAAUGGCCAACAUGGUGAGGAUGAAAACUUGGAAGAUGAGGCAGCAUUGGCAGAAGUAGAAGCUGCAGAGAAAGGAAUACUACAAAGUAAUGAGAAUGGCGCAUGAGAUCGAACGCACCUUUCUUUUCUUAUCAAAGUAGAUUUCCUUAUGAUUUUCCUUUCAUGAAAGAAGACAUCUUUCUUAUGGUUUUGGUAUUUUUAAGAUACAAUUUCCUUUAGGAUAUUUAUUUAUUUUCUUAUUCAGUUGAUGUGGAUUCUUUAGGAUAUUUAUUUAUUAUCUCUUCGACACUGCUAUGGUUGAUGUGGAGUUGUGGUGUUUUGGUAUGGAUUCAAAGCUGCACAGAUUUUUUGAAGUACAAGAACAAGUGUGUUGCUGAUGAAUGUGUAGGAAAUGUAAGAAGAUAAUCGUACUUGAUUAUUUCUUGGUACGAA